UACGUAGGGGGCAAGCGUUAUCCGGAUUUACUGGGUGUAAAGGGAGCGUAGACGGCAGUGCAAGUCUGGAGUGAAAGGCGGGGGCUCAACCCCCGGACUGCUCUGGAAACUGUACGGCUGGAGUGCAGGAGAGGUAAGUGGAAUUCCUAGUGUAGCGGUGAGAUGCGUAGAUAUUAGGGGGAACACCAGUGGCGAAGGCGGCUUACUGGACUGUAACUGACGUUGAGGCUCGAAAGCGUGGGGAGCAAACAGG
rnacentral:rRNA from 1 species